rnacentral:rRNA from 1 species
GGUGCUAAUACCGCAUAACCAUAGUUACCGCAUGGUAACUAUGUAAAAGGUGGCUAUGCUACCGCUUUUGGAUGGGCCCGCGGCGCAUUAGCUAGUUGGUGGGGUAAAGGCUUACCAAGGCAAUGAUGCGUAGCCGAACUGAGAGGUUGAUCGGCCACAUUGGGACUGAGACACGGCCCAAACUCCUACGGGAGGCAGCAGUAGGGAAUCUUCCACAAUGGGCGAAAGCCUGAUGGAGCAACGCCGCGUGGGUGAAGAAGGUCUUCGGAUCGUAAAACCCUGUUGUUAGAGAAGAAAGUGCGUGAGAGUAACUGUUCACGUUUCGACGGUAUCUAACCAGAAAGCCACGGCUAACUACGUGCCAGCAGCCGCGGUAAUACGUAGGUGGCAAGCGUUAUCCGGAUUUAUUGGGCGUAAAGGGAACGCAGGCGGUCUUUUAAGUCUGAUGUGAAAGCCUUCGGCUUAACCGGAGUAGUGCAUUGGAAACUGGGAGACUUGAGUGCAGAAGAGGAGAGUGGAACUCCAUGUGUAGCGGUGAAAUGCGUAGAUAUAUGGAAGAACACCAGUGGCGAAAGCGGCUCUCUGGUCUGUAACUGACGCUGAGGUUCGAAAGCGUGGGUAGCAAACAGGAUUAGAUACCCUGGUAGUCCACGCCGUAAACG